rnacentral:tRNA from 1 species
GGUCUCUUAGCUCAGUUUGGUUAGAGCGCCACGUUGACAUCGUGGAGGUCACAGGUUCGAGUCCCGUAGAGACCA